rnacentral:rRNA from 1 species
GACGAACGCUGGCGGCGUGCCUAAUACAUGCAAGUAGAACGCUGAAGCUUGGUGCUUGCACCGAGCGGAUGAGUUGCGAACGGGUGAGUAACGCGUAGGUAACCUGCCUGGUAGCGGGGGAUAACUAUUGGAAACGAUAGCUAAUACCGCAUAACAGUAGAUGUCGCAUGACAUUUGCUUAAAAGGUGCAAUUGCAUCACUACCAGAUGGACCUGCGUUGUAUUAGCUAGUUGGUGAGGUAACGGCUCACCAAGGCGACGAUACAUAGCCGACCUGAGAGGGUGAUCGGCCACACUGGGACUGAGACACGGCCCAGACUCCUACGGGAGGCAGCAGUAGGGAAUCUUCGGCAAUGGACGGAAGUCUGACCGAGCAACGCCGCGUGAGUGAGGAAGGUUUUCGGAUCGUAAAGCUCUGUUGUAAGAGAAGAACGAGUGUGAGAGUGGAAAGUUCACACUGUGACGGUAUCUACCAGAAAGGAC